GCCGAAGUGGCGGAAUUGGUAGACGCGCUAGAUUCAGGAUCUAGUGAAGGAUUAACUUCGUGCGGGUUCGAGUCCCGCCUUCGGCA
rnacentral:tRNA from 1 species